GACGAACGCUGGCGGCGUGCUUAACACAUGCAAGUCGAACGGAAAGGCCCUGCUUUUGUGGGGUGCUCGAGUGGCGAACGGGUGAGUAACACGUGAGUAACCUGCCCUUGACUUUGGGAUAACUUCAGGAAACUGGGGCUAAUACCGGAUAGGAGCUCCUGCUGCAUGGUGGGGGUUGGAAAGUUUCGGCGGUUGGGGAUGGACUCGCGGCUUAUCAGCUUGUUGGUGGGGUAGUGGCUUACCAAGGCUUUGACGGGUAGCCGGCCUGAGAGGGUGACCGGCCACAUUGGGACUGAGAUACGGCCCAGACUCCUACGGGAGGCAGCAGUGGGGAAUAUUGCACAAUGGGCGGAAGCCUGAUGCAGCAACGCCGCGUGCGGGAUGACGGCCUUCGGGUGGUAAACAGCUUUCGCCUGUGACGAAGCGUGAGGGACGGGAAUGGGGAAAGAAGCACCGGCGAACUACGG
rnacentral:rRNA from 1 species